rnacentral:rRNA from 1 species
CCUACGGGAGGCAGCAGUGGGGAAUAUUGCGCAAUGGGCGAAAGCCUGACGCAGCGACGCCGCGUGAGGGAUGAAGGUCUUCGGAUCGUAAACCUCUGUCAGCAGGGAAGAACGGUCACUGUGCUAAUCAGCAGUGAAUUGACGGUACCUGCAAAGGAAGCACCGGCUAACUCCGGGCCAGCAGCCGCGGUAAUACGGAGGGUGCGAGCGUUAAUCGGAAUUACUGGGCGUAAAGCGCUCGUAGGCGGUAUGUCAAGUCAAGGGGGAAAUCCCCGCGCUCAACGUGGGAACUGCCUUUGAAACUGGCAAACUGGAGUGUGUGAGAGGAUAGUGGAAUUCCAGGUGUAGGAGUGAAAUCCGUAGAUAUCUGGAGGAACAUCAGUGGCGAAGGCGACUAUCUGGCACAUAACUGACGCUGAGGAGCGAAAGCGUGGGUAGCAAACAGGAUUAGAUACCCCAGUAGUC